GGGCCGUGGCGGGGUGCUAUACAUGCAAGUCGAGCGGACAGAAGGGAGCUUGCUCCCGGAUGUUAGCGGCGGACGGGUGAGUAACACGUGGGUAACCUGCCUGUAAGACUGGGAUAACUCCGGGAAACCGGAGCUAAUACCGGAUAGUUCCUUGAACCGCAUGGUUCAAGGAUGAAAGACGGUUUCGGCUGUCACUUACAGAUGGACCCGCGGCGCAUUAGCUAGUUGGUGAGGUAACGGCUCACCAAGGCGACGAUGCGUAGCCGACCUGAGAGGGUGAUCGGCCACACUGGGACUGAGACACGGCCCAGACUCCUACGGGAGGCAGCAGUAGGGAAUCUUCCGCAAUGGACGAAAGUCUGACGGAGCAACGCCGCGUGAGUGAUGAAGGUUUUCGGAUCGUAAAGCUCUGUUGUUAGGGAAGAACAAGUGCAAGAGUAACUGCUUGCACCUUGACGGUACCUAACCAGAAAGCCACGGCUAACUACGUGCCAGCAGCCGCGGUAAUACGUAGGUGGCAAGCGUUGUCCGGAAUUAUUGGGCGUAAAGGGCUCGCAGGCGGUUUCUUAAGUCUGAUGUGAAAGCCCCCGGCUCAACCGGGGAGGGUCAUUGGAAACUGGGAAACUUGAGUGCAGAAGAGGAGAGUGGAAUUCCACGUGUAGCGGUGAAAUGCGUAGAGAUGUGGAGGAACACCAGUGGCGAAGGCGACUCUCUGGUCUGUAACUGACGCUGAGGAGCGAAAGCGUGGGGAGCGAACAGGAUUAGAUACCCUGGUAGUCCACGCCGUAAACGAUGAGUGCUAAGUGUUAGGGGUUUCCGCCCCUUAGUGCUGCAGCUAACGCAUUAAGCACUCCGCCUGGGGAGUACGGUCGCAAGACUGAACUCAAAGGAAUUGACGGGGGCCCGCACAAGCGGUGGAGCAUGUGGUUUAAUUCGGAGCAACGCGAAGAACCUUACCAAGUCUUGACAUCCUCUGACACCCUAGAGAUAGGGUCUUUUCCUUUCGGGGACAGAGUGACAGGUGGUGCAUGGCUUGUCGUCAGCUCUGUCGUGACAUGUGGUUAAGUCCCGCAACGAUCUGCAACUCCUUGAAUCUUAGGUUGUC
rnacentral:rRNA from 1 species